AUACAAAUGCUCUAGAUAUUCAAC
rnacentral:siRNA from 1 species